GAUGAACGCUGGCGGCGUGCCUAAUACAUGCAAGUCGAGCGAACAGACGAGGAGCUUGCUCCUCUGACGUUAGCGGCGGACGGGUGAGUAACACGUGGAUAACCUACCUAUAAGACUGGGAUAACUUCGGGAAACCGGAGCUAAUACCGGAUAAUAUAUUGAACCGCAUGGUUCAAUAGUGAAAGACGGUUUUGCUGUCACUUAUAGAUGGAUCCGCGCCGCAUUAGCUAGUUGGUAAGGUAACGGCUUACCAAGGCGACGAUGCGUAGCCGACCUGAGAGGGUGAUCGGACACACUGGAACUGAGACACGGUCCAGAGUCCUACGGGAGGCAGCAGUAGGGAAUAUUACGCAAUGGGCGAAAGCCUGACGGAGCAACGCCGCGUGAGUGAUGAAGGUCUUCGGAUCGUAAAACUCUGUUAUUAGGGAAGAACAAAUGUGUAAGUAACUAUGCACGUCUUGACGGUACCUAAUCAGAAAGCCACGGCUAACUACGUG
rnacentral:rRNA from 1 species